CCCCCCUUAUUCCAAAGAACUUUCCCACGCUGUGUAAAAUGACAGAGCACUCUGGUGGAUUUCAGGCCAACCAAUCAGAGUGCUGUGACAGGUAAAUGUAGAAAACCAAUCAGAGUCCUCUGAGCCUAAUUGCAGGGCGGGGCAAGGCUUUAUAAGCCUUCCCCUGCCCUGCAGAGCUCAGUCUGUGCGGAGCCCUCCAUGGGUGAAGAUGGAUUAUAUUUUUUUGCGCUAGUGGUUUUUCUUGUUUUUUUUUAGUGCAUCGGUUAUUAUGGAUUUUUUAUUUGUCCUUUUUUGGGGCUGAAAAAUAAGAUUUUAGAAGAAAGAAAACAUGAAAUGGUAAGUUUAAUUUUUUUUACAGGUACUUAGUUAAAAGUCCCCCCUCAUUAUUUUUUAGGUGAGGGGGGUAGGAAGGGG